rnacentral:rRNA from 1 species
GAUGAACGCUGGCGGCGUGCCUAAUACAUGCAAGUCGAGCGAACAGAUGAGGAGCUUGCUCCUCUGACGUUAGCGGCGGACGGGUGAGUAACACGUGGAUAACCUACCUAUAAGACUGGGAUAACUUCGGGAAACCGGAGCUAAUACCGGAUAAUAUAUUGAACCGCAUGGUUCAAUAGUGAAAGACGGUUUUGCUGUCACUUAUAGAUGGAUCCGCGCCGCAUUAGCUAGUUGGUAAGGUAACGGCUUACCAAGGCAACGAUGCGUAGCCGACCUGAGAGGGUGAUCGGCCAAACUGGAACUGAGACACGGUCCAGACCCCCACGGGGGGCAGCAGUAGGGAAUCUUCCGGAAUGGGCGAAAGCCUGACGGAGCAACGCCGCGUGAGUGAUGAAGGUCUGCGGAUUGUAAAACUCUGUUAUUAGGGAAGAAAAAAUGUGAAAGUAACUAUGCACCUUUUGACUGUACCUAAUCAAAAAGCCACGGCUAACUACGU